GACGAACGCUGGCGGCGUGCUUAACACAUGCAAGUCGAACGGAAAGGCCCUGCUUUUGUGGGGUGCUCGAGUGGCGAACGGGUGAGUAACACGUGAGUAACCUGCCCCUGACUUUGGGAUAACUUCAGGAAACUGGGGCUAAUACCGGAUAGGAGCUCCUGCUGCAUGGUGGGGGUUGGAAAGUUUCGGCGGUUGGGGAUGGACUCGCGGCUUAUCAGCUUGUUGGUGGGGUAGUGGCUUACCAAGGCUUUGACGGGUAGCCGGCCUGAGAGGGUGACCGGCCACAUUGGGACUGAGAUACGGCCCAGACUCCUACGGGAGGCAGCAGUGGGGAAUAUUGCACAAUGGGCGGAAGCCUGAUGCAGCAACGCCGCGUGCGGGAUGACGGCCUUCGGGUUGUAAACCGCUUUCGCCUGUGGCGAAGCGUGAGUGACGGUAAUGGGUAAAGAAGCACCGGCUAACUACGUG
rnacentral:rRNA from 1 species